UGAGGUGUAUGAUUGACGCCGAU
rnacentral:siRNA from 1 species